CUCUCUCUCCUCCUUCUCUCUCCUCCCUCUCUUCUUCCUCUCUUCCGUGCGACUCCUCCAUCUUCUUCAUCUUCCUUCUUCGGCUACUCGGUUCCGUGGAGACCGAAGACCAAGGGAAGCAGCAGCCGUCGUCCACGCCUCUCGCCACCAUCGCCGCCCACGUGCCGCCGCUCGAGCACCUCGUCGUUCGUGCAUCGACUGCGUGCCUCCGCCCCUUUCUCCUUCUCUGUUUCGUUUGAAGACAGCAAACACAGAAGCAGCAACCUCAUCCCACUGCAACCGGAGCCAAGGCCGUCGUCGCCAUGCGCCGUCGCAGCUUCGCGAUUGCCCAGCCGCGCCGUCCACCUCCGUCCAGUCGAGCUGCCGUCCACGAACCGCCUGGCCAGCUGCUAUUCGGUGGUCUUGAGGGAUGGUAGAGACCCACCGGAGCUCCCUCCGACCACCUCCGGCCACCGUGAAGCCCCGCCUAGGUCUGGUUCAACUCCUCCGCUCACUCCCGACCCCAACCAGCCCCGGAUCUGCCCUCCUUCGCCCCCAACCAACAGCAAUCAGAGAAGAAGAAAAUGGGUAUGGCAGCCCCUUCGUGGGCUGUUUUGGCUGCCUUCCCGAGCCUGGAUGCUCGGCCCGCCUUGAGGAAAGUCGAUCCUCGCGUCGUCCCCGUCGUUUUAGUCCGCUUGGUUCGCUAAUCCGGUGAGUUUAACUCACUAAACCUUGAUUAGACGGUUAAUGAUGCCCUAAGUGUGCUUAGUCUAAGUUAAGUAAGUUUAUGUGGUUAUAUUAGUUUAUUUGGUUGAUGAUUAGAUUAGGGUGUUUAAUUAAGUUAAAGUGUGUUUAGUUUAAGGUUAAGUAUGUUUAUUUUUAAUAUAAAGCCUUGAUGUGACAUAAUAGGGUUUUAUUUUUGAAUUAUUUAAUGAUUUCAAAUUCUGGAAUUUAUAAUAUUAUAUUAUAUUCCGAAAUUAUUAAAAUAUUAUUAAUUAAAAAAAAACGGAAAAAUUAUUUUUGACCCCUGUUGCUCAGAAUUUCGUGCCGAUCGCUGUUGUGUAGUCGGAUUUUGAAAUUGAUGAUUGGAUAUUAUAAAUUGAGUGUGGAUCGUGAAAGACAUGGAUAUUAUUAUUUAAUUAAUUUUCGGAAUAAAUUUAAUUAUUUGAUAAAUUCUGAAAAUUAGUUUGGAACCUUAUUCUCUCAUAAUUUCGUGCUGAUCGCUGCUGUGUAUUUAUAAUUUGAAUUUGAUGAUUGAUUGUGGCAAUUGGAGUGUGAUUGUGAUAAAUAGGGAUUUUUUUUAUAAAAUCCUAAGUGUAGAAAUUGAUGGGAGAUUGGCCGUGAUGUACCACCUAGGAAAGGUCGUGCCCAGUGAGGCCGUGAUGUACCAUCUAGGAAAGGUCGUGCCCAGUGAGGCCGUGAUUAACCACCUAUUAGAGGUCGUGCCCAAUGAGGCCGUGAUUAACCACUUAUUAGAGGUCGUGUCCAGUGAGGCCGUGAUGAACCACCUAUGAGAGGUCGUGCCUAGUGAGGCCGUGAUUAACCACCUAUUAAAGGUCGUGCCCAGUGAGGCCGUGAUGGACCACCUAAUUAAAGGUCAUGCCGAGUGGGGCCGUGAUUGCCACUGAUUGUUAAACCUUCCUAUAGGGCCGGGAUUGAGAGCAAUGAUUGAUUUGCUAGAAUGACAUGUAAUCGGCCGAGUCGAUUGAUCGCUAAGACGUUCCAAGUAGUUGAAUUGUUUUGAUAAUGUGAUUAUGCCACGGUUGUUUGGUUAUCAUAAUUGUACGUGGUUGAAUUAUAUAAAUUGUGCUAACCUGCAGAUGAAGGCUGAGGCGAGGUAAGUCUUCUGUGUGAUGUGGCUAGGCCACCCGGGGCGUAUUUUCUUUCUAAUAGGGGUUUAGGGGGUUGAACUUGCUGAGACAUCGUCUCAUCCCGGUUGUGGGAUUAAAAUUUCAGGUCCCUGGUGGACGGAGCGACCGGAUAGCUUUGGUUGGCCUUGAGGAGUUGCAAAGAUGAAGUUAUAAGGAUUGGAGAGCGUGUACGACUUGUAGAUCGUAGGACAGUUCAUUUUUAAGAGCCGGUCUUUUGAAGACUUUUGGCUGUAGACCUCUGUUUGUAAUUCUGUUGAAUUAUGAAAGUGUUAUGUUGUGGUUUUGCUUCCUGCUUUUCUAUCCCGUAUUUUAUUGUCAGGGGUUUUAUAAUACGUUCCG
rnacentral:lncRNA from 1 species